AGGUACAUAGCUCAGUGGUUAGAGCAUCAGGCUUAUAAUCAGAAAGUUAUGAGUUCGAUUCCUGGACCAA
rnacentral:tRNA from 1 species